AUUAAUAUAUAUUCUAAUAAAUAUGCCUCAGAAAAUAACGCUUUUAGUUACCAUUCUAAACGGAUUCUCCAAACAAGAUUCAGCAAAAUAUAAAAGCUAUAGAGACAUCUCCGGAGCAAAUAUUCUCCAUUCCCAUAGUUGAAAUUUAAUUGUUUGAAACUCUUAUUGAGCUCAUAAAUUGGAAGUUGUCAGAAGAUCGAACAAACAUUGAACUUGACGGAAUAAAUAUAAGUAACUUUGAUUCUUACCGUCGGAAUUUGGUUAAUUAAUACCAAUCGGAUGAUUGACAUAACAAAUUGGAAGUUGUAAGCAUUGUGUAUUCGAAAUCAAACAAGAAGACAAUCUACAAAGAAAUUCGUAUGUGACCUGUGGAAAUUGAUCUGUUAUCUAUGCGAUAUGACCUAUGAACUAAUAAUAUAUGAAUUGUGACAUGUAAAAUUGAAUUUAUGACAUGUUUUCAAUACACAAAGACAGGCAACAUAUGAUAUGUGACCAGUUAAUUUUGGUAUAUGACUUGUUCACAUUGAUCUGUGAUCUAUAAAAUAUGAUUUGUGACCUGUGGAGUGUGACUUGUGGGAUGCAAGCAUGAUUUGUGACUUGUUCUAUUUGAUAUAUGACUUGCAGAUAAUUUAUAUGUGAUGUGUAAAAUGACCCGUGACCUGGUAUAUGAGAUCUGUCACCUCCACCAGAUAUCAACACAGUAUUUAACAUACACUCUAUGAACAUGUGAUCAUUGCCAGCAACACUACAAAACCACCAUAAAAUUACCGCAAAGCACCGCAGUACCACUCCCACAAAUCGUUGCAAAACUACCACAAAAAUCUCCACAAACCAUUGCAAGACACCCCAAAAUCACUACUGCAGUGACUUGAGGUUCACCGCUGCAACGGUGCUCACAUCGGCGUGUUGCAAACCUAUCGCAGUGCACGUCCAGUUCGUCAUUGUAGCGACGAACCGAACAUCACGACUCACGUGAGGGGGGCUCUGAGCAUCGUCGUUGCCAAAGGAGACAAUUUGAGCGUCACUAUGCUUGGCACUUAGUUAAAGAUGGUAGAGAGAAAGUAGAAAGAGAAUGGAGAAGAUAGAGAAAGAAGAAAAUGAAAAUGGGUUUGGAGUGAAUUGGGGUGGGGAAGAAAGGGGUGGGUAGAUUAAUU
rnacentral:lncRNA from 1 species